rnacentral:lncRNA from 1 species
UUCCUGGGCAUUGAUAUCAUUGGACCAAGUGCUUCACUCAUACCAUAUGCAUGGUUAAUAAUAAAGCCUAAUUCUUCCAGUUUGGUCAGAAUUUCUAGUGGUGGCAAUACCCCUGCUACUGUUACAUUCACCUGGUGAGGUAACAGAGGUUGAUUUGUGUCUAUGGCAUCUGUAAUUUUGCUAAGAAUCAUUGGUGCUUGGUGAGGUAACAGGGGCUGAUUUAUGGCUAUGGCAUCUGAAAUUUUUGUAAGAAUCAUUGGUGCACCACAAAAAUGUGUCACAUUGUGAAGGUAAAUAGCAUCCAAAAUUUCUUUUCCAUUGAUUUCUUCUAUGCAAAUAUU